UUCGAUAAAAAAAUUAAAUAAUUCACCUCCAAAUUGAUAAACCGUUAAUUAUAAAAUUUCAAUUCGUUCACCAACUGUUAAUCUAAUAACCCGAUAUCAAUAAGCCAAUAAACUAAUUUUGCGAUUCGGUUAUUGGUUACGAAUUGGUUUUGAACAACUUAGUUGAGUUGUACGUUUCUUCCCCGGUUAAUCCAAUAACCCCAUGCGAAUAAGCCAUUGAUUAGGGCAACAAUAUAAAAAGCGGCGAUAACAGCGAAAAUAGCAAAAUCUCAAUAGUUUAGGUAUGAGGCUGCGGUGAAAGCGGAGAGCUGUGGGGAGUUUCUAUGGGUGGUUUUUGCCCCUCUUUGUCUUUCUUCGCCGCCGAUGAUCACUCAAAUGAAAAAAAUAAAUUCCGAUUGCAAAACUAGCCUUUCGGUGAAAAUAAGUGUUACUCCGUUCACUUUUACUUUUGGGCAAUGAGGCUAUGAAGAUUAUUGUCUUCUGCGGAAGAUGAAACAGACAUAUUGCUAUUGAGCUCGAAAAAACUGUAACUUGGCGUGGCAGCUCAGAUGGGUCUGUGAGAUAUUGGAGAAAGUUCCCUUUCAGGGUGUUUUUACCUCUCAUAAGGCUAACUGAUGCUUGCAGCCAUGACGGUUUUUUCAAAGCUUUUUGGUUUUUGUCUGAGAAAAGGCGAAUCUGAGCCUACCCCAUUACUUUGAUUUUUGUUUUUGGUUUUCCCUAUGCUCCUUGAUUAUGUAGGCGAAAAUCUAAGCUCAUCCCUCGAUUUAACUUUUAGUUCCAUUUCUGAGACUGUAACUCGGAGAUGCUUUGUGGGAAUAAUUCUUAGCUUGAAGAUGGUUGAUUUUUCCAUAAUGUUAGUGGAAUAAUUUCUCCAAAAUUUAUGAGUUUUAGUAAUUGAAUGAGAAACGGCGAUGAUAGCAAAAAUCAUUGAUGGCCAAAGAUCAAAUAAGAAUGCCAAACUACCACAGAUCUUCUAUUUGUUGUGAAUUAAUCUCUUGACUAGUAUGGUAACUCAACCUUAACAGCACUGUAUUUUUAUUUGCGCCGAUUGAAACAAACUGAGUCUGAGUGUUGUCCGAUGUGGCAUUGCUAAAAAGAAGUCUUGUUAGUUACAAAUCAUGUCAAGAUCCCUUGCUGCAAGGUACUCUUGCAUUUUUGCAGACAAAAACUUGCAGGUGAUGGGUUUUUGUUCCCAUUAAGAUGAAGUACUAGUUUGAAGUGGGGCUAGAUUCUGAUGUGUAAGAAAUAUUGUAAAGAAACUACACUUAUGUUGAUGAAAACUCCAGGAACUGCGUUUGUCUUUAAGUUCCAAAUUUCCGUGAAAUCACUGUAGAUUCUAGCUACAGCAGGAACGAAAUGGAGAGAGGAGGAUUGGAAAUCAAUAAUGUUUGAUUGGGAUGAUCUAAUGUUCUUGAAAGAGCUAUUUUGCUUGGUCACAGCUAUGGACCUUGUUGAUAUGAGUCAAUAGCAUCUGCCCCAUAUCUUAGAUAUUUCUGAUAAGCAGGAUAAGUUGAUCCAGAUAUUCUCCAUUAGCUCCUUUAAGUAAUAACCACCACUACAACGACAACAUACUCAGUGCGAUCCAUAAGUGGGGUUUGGGAAGGGUGGAAUGUAGGCAACCCUAAGUAAUAAUACCUUGUUGAUAUGAGUCAAUAGCAUCUGCCCCAUAUCUUAGAUAUUUCUGAUAAGCAGGAUAAGUUGAUCCAGAUAUUCUCCAUUAGCUCCUUUAAGUAAUAACCACCACUACAACGACAACAUACUCAGUGCGAUCCAUAAGUGGGGUUUGGGAAGGGUGGAAUGUAGGCAACCCUAAGUAAUAAUGCCAAUUGAAGGUCUGUUAUUAAUGCAGAGAUGAAAGGAUAUCCCUUUAAUUAAUGCCUUUCUAGAGCUUUUGGCUAAAAUCAAGUAUCCAAGAACCACAAAUAGUAGUCUCUAGCAGGGUAAAUGGAGAUCCAGCCAAGCAUAGCUGCUCUAGUGAGUUAUGAGCUAUUGCGCUUGCAAUAAUUAUAUGUAAAAACUUCCAUUUACUUUUUAUUUGUAAUUCUAGGCAUUGAACAGGUAAAUGAAACCCUAUGUGUGUUCCUUUUUCUCUUUAAUGUGGACCUGUUUGCGAGUGUGCAUUACGAAAUUUGUCGAUAUCAGAAGGUGUACAUCUUUAUAAAACUGCCACCAACCACAACCAAAUAAAAAAUUCUCUGUUUUUUUAUUCUGGGGAUGUAAAUGCUAAGGUCUAUUUUUGAGUUACGUUAUUGCUAAAGAUGUACUUCUUAACACCUUAGGCUAUUUUUCUCCCCUUUUUUUUUGUUUUUUAAAACUCUCUGUAAUGAAUGACAAUGCUCUGCCUCUUUGAUAUGAGUGUGCCUAAAAGUGUUCGCUUUUUUACUUGAAUUUUAGGAAUGUGAGUGCUAACAUCUAUUUUUGAGUUUCCUUGUUGAUAAAUAUGCUCUUUUGAUUGAUACUUAAUCCUAUUCUCCACUCUCUUUUGAACUCUGUAAUGAAUGGGAAUGCUCUUGCUCUGAGAUUGGUGUGACUUAAUGUGUUUUUCUUUAUCUAGAAUCGUAGGCAUCAUUAUUAAAAGUGUACUUUCUGAUACUUUAGCCUUUAUUUUCUGUGUUUGAACUCUGUAUAAAGAAUCACAAUGCUGAUUCCUUGAUGUGGGUGUGCCUAAAUGUGUUUUCUUUUGUCUAGAAACUUAGGCAUGUGAAUACUGACGUCUAUAUUAAGAUACUUUGUUGCUGAGAUGUUUUAUUGGAGUAAUCCUUAUUGGUAAAGCGCAUAAUUUCAGUCAUGUUACCUGUAUUUUGAACUGUAAUUUGAUACUCAACUUUGAAAUAAUAUAAAACCACUCGAUCAACUUAUGCAGGUGCUAUCUCCGCACUUCAUGUUGUCAGAAUACAAGCCAAAAGCUAAGACAGGCGAUGCAUUUACAAGUGAGUAAGCUCAUUUUAUAAAUUAUGCAAAUUUUGUAGUUGUUGCCUGCUUUAUGAAUACCCACUAAUCUUUGAGAUCGAUUCCAUGCUAAUUUGUUUUUUGAGUCCUUGUUUCUAUUGGUAUUUUGCCGCAUUUUGUGAUUGACGUAAACAAGAUGUCAUACUUCUUGCUCUUCUCCUUCAAUUAAUUGUGUAUCCUGUGCAUAAAGGAAUUCAUCCUAAAUGAUGAGUAAUUCAAGUAAGCUAUGGAUUAACAUCCAAAUGAAGCUUUUUUGUCAUAGUUACACUGAUAGAUGAGAUUCCUUUAUAUGUGUUAUCCUAGGGUUCCUUUUUCUUGAUGAAUGAUCUCAUAGUUUGUUAUGUUGUAGAUAACAAGAAAUAUAAUACUUGAUAAAAAAAGAAGAGAGAUAAUACUUAUUAAAAAAGAGAUAUUACAUGAGCGCCGAAGGGAGUGGCAUAGUUGUCAAUGAAGUGAGUGAAAACCCUAGAGACUGGUUCAAAUCCCAACCGCAACAACAAAAAAGGCUGUUAUUUCUUCUUAUCUGUCUAUGCCUUGGUAUGUUAGAGUUAACCAAUACCUGUAUUGAUGAAAGGCAAGCAUGUAUCUAGUGGAAUUGUCGAGGUGUGCACAAUAAUGGUCCGGAUACAACCAUUAUAAAAAAGAAAUACAUGUCUUUUCUAAACUGCUUUUUGCUGAUCCUUGGAUGUUACAGAAGCAUUUUACCUCCCAAAAUUUUCCAGUAAGUUUUCGUGCACCUCUUACUAGAGCGGUUUUCAAAAAUCCGGUUAAGCAACAUAUACAUCGCUUUUGCUGCUUUGAAAGGGUGUUUAACAUUAUUUAAACGGAAAAGGGCCAACAUUGCCCCUAGACACUGUUAAAUUGAACAAUUUUGCCCUCCUUUAAAAAAGUUUCUCGUUCCUAUUCCUGCCGUUAACAAAGUGGCUCGAUUUUGCUCUUAUGGGCUAACAACAACAAUUAAAGGACAAAUUUAGACCAUUCACAAAGUCCAUUCUGGCACUACUUAGCAAAGAGGGAUAAGUUAGAAUAGGAAAAUCACAACAACUGUUAUUAUUCUGGAGAAUGAUUUGCAAGGCUUCAUAUCUUUCACCUCAUAACUCCCUGUAAAUUUUGUAAUGCAUAACUUCUCAUCCUUCUCAAUUACCUCAAAUCGAAUUCUGUAAAAAUUAAACCCAAGGUCAACAUAUCCACCUUCAAUCAGCACAGAUUGCUUGUAUAUUUUCUCAUUAUCCACUAUGUUGAAUCUCUCGAAAUAUGGUAUUCCUGGUGUACCUGUUUUAAUAAAAGUUAAACACGAUGCAUGUAGAAAAUACAUAUCAGAUGUUGAUCAAUAAUUUGUUGUAAUACUUUAGAUGAACAUCCUUAUGGUCAACUUUGGUCUCUGUGUGGGUGUAUAUAGUAUAGUUGAAUGUGACAUGCACUGUCUUGACUUCUUAUCUCUUUGGAGAUUCAUUCAAAAAGAAAUCUACAGUACCUUUCUUUAUAGUAUGAUCUUUCUGUGUCCAUGUCUUUGGCUAUGUAAUAUCCAGGUUGUUUUGGCUUAUCCACCUUAGUAAAUAGUCAUUCUUUGGUGAUAAUGAUGAUGAUUCUUCAGAGCAAAUGGUAUUAGGAAUUGAUAUGGCAAGAGACGCAUAUCUUGGUGAGAUAAGCCUAUCCUGGAAGGUUACUACCAUGCCCAUGAUGGUGUUGGAAAAUCUCAAUGCUGAACAUAAAGCCAAUUUAUGCUCACUUUUAAGCCAAAACAAUGUUAAAAGUAGGGCAUUAUUUCAUAGCUAAAGUAGGUGCUUGGCUUAUAUGUAUGGAGUAACUUUCUUCAAUUCUUGUGCUUUCCCUGCUCAUCCUUUAAUUUCUCUUGUAAAGUUCCAGCAAUUUUAAUCAAUGUGCAUCAUAUUUAGUUCGCAUAUAUACGUAUUAUCUUACAAAGAAAAGCCUUGUAGAACAGCACGUCCUUAAAGUACUUGUAAGGACAGACAUGUUCUUGUAAUGUGUUUUUAGUUCACAGUACUGCGACAAAAGACUGUUAGUGUUAGUUUGUGGUUUUGAUGAAUAUAGUUCUCUUAUGUGUGCUUUAAGUGAAGAAGGCAAAAACUCU
rnacentral:lncRNA from 1 species